AGUGAACGCUGGCGGUAGGCCUAACACAUGCAAGUCGAACGGCAGCACAGUAAGAGCUUGCUCUUACGGGUGGCGAGUGGCGGACGGGUGAGGAAUACAUCGGAAUCUACUUUUUCGUGGGGGAUAACGUAGGGAAACUUACGCUAAUACCGCAUACGACCUACGGGUGAAAGCAGGGGAUCUUCGGACCUUGCGCGAUUGAAUGAGCCGAUGUCGGAUUAGCUAGUUGGCGGGGUAAAGGCCCACCAAGGCGACGAUCCGUAGCUGGUCUGAGAGGAUGAGCAGCCACAAUGGAACUGAGACACGGGCCAGAACCCGAGGGGAGGCAGGAGGGGGGAAGAUGGACAAAUGGGCGAAAGCCUGAUCCAGCCAAACCGGGGGGGUGAAGAAGGCCUUGGGGUUGUAAAGCCUUUUUGUGGGGAAAAAAAAGCAGCAGGUUAAAACCCCGCUGUUCUGAAGGUACCCAAAGAAUAAGCACCGGCUAACUUCGG
rnacentral:rRNA from 1 species